GCACCAAUUUAUCUGACAUCACGUAUGAAGCUUGGAAUCAGCUUGUUGGAAAAUCUAUUGUACAAACAGCCUGUACAACAGCACCAAGUUCUACUGAAGGUCCAACAUUGAGUUCUUUCUUUUCUCACACCUCUUUUGCAUACAGAGCAUGGACAUCUAUCGUCUGUAUGAACUUAACACUGUCUCUUCAAACAUUAUGAGGAUUGAUGGAGUCCACCACGGGAAACAUGGAAAGAAAGGCUCUGUAGUUUUCUGGCUUCAGGUUCAGCAAGCUCGUG